GUACCUCUGGCCUAGUGGUUAGAGCAUCUGCCUUGGAUGUGGGAGGUCAUGGGUUCAAACCAUACCAAAGACU